CACCUCUCUGGGCUGGAUGAAUCCAGGUAAUUACAGGGCCUCGUGGCAGGCACCCCGGCUCCAGCCACCACCUAUGUGUGGGUGCUGUUGACCUCUCUGGGAUGUGGGCCCUCCCGGAUGCAGCCACUAUCAUCCUUCCAUGACACUCCCACCAUUCCCUCACCCUACAUCUGCUUGUCAUUGUAGAGUGGGUCCCUUUGGGGUCGCAGACUAGAGUGCGAUAGGAUCUACAUUCUAGUCCUGGCUUUGACCCUGACCUGCUGUGACCCUGAUGUGAGAGGGCCUUCCUUCUUUUCCAGUCCUGAAGCUCCUGCAUUCCAUGGUUCGCUGCUCUUUGGAGGAAGGGUGCCCAGCAAGUUCAGCAGAGGCCUCUCCUGUCCAGGGGGGUCUCACUGUCCAGGCUGUGGUUUUAUAGUGGCCAUAAAUGCAACACACAGGAGCCGCGUGGUCUGCAGCACUGAUCACCAAGGAUUGCAGGGACUCUCACCUAUGGAGAAGACAGGUGUUGGUAGGAGGUAUGCUGGGAAGAGCUUUGCUAUAUCUCCGGAAGGAAGAAGAUUGUUUCCCCUCGGGGGAUGGCACUUUCAACAUGUGGGAGCUUGUCGGGUCACAGAAGAAUGACAGGUGAGCUUCAGUGAUGCUCCUGGUGACUAAUGCUGUGGUUAAGAAUGCAGCUGUAAAAAGCUCUCUAAAAAGCAUGGAUCAGACAAUUGUAUCUUAUUAAUUCAAAACCUCCAACAAUGAAAGCUUACGAUUGCAAGAAUAAUCUUUGUUUCUGCAAUGAUUUGAUGGGGCAAAAGGGAAAUAAUCCUUAAAUGGAUGAUUUUUUAACCGUAAGGCAAGUGAAAUCUCAGUAAAAGACAAACUCUCUCCCCACCUUGCCCACAUUGCCUCCACUCUCACACUUAUACACAUGAAAUGCUAUUGAGAGGCCGGUGUAUAACGAGCCCAUCAGAGAGCCAAGGCAGCUUCAGUGUUAUCAUCUGAUGUUGUCUACCUGUGGGAGAUAGCACAGCAUGGGGUUUUGCUGUCAGAUUCAUAUUUGAACCCAGACUCUAAUAACUUAUUA
rnacentral:lncRNA from 1 species